rnacentral:misc_RNA from 1 species
GCAAACUUGGUCAUUUAGAGGAAGUAAAAGUCGUAACAAGGUUUCCGUAGGUGAACCUGCGGAAGGAUCAUUAACGAGUUAGGGUCUUCCAGGCCCGACCUCCCAACCCUUUGUUUACCGCACCUCUGUUGCUUCGGCGGACCCGUCUCACGACCGCCGGAGGACCGUCGAGAGGCGUCCUCUGGCCCGUGUCCGCCGAUAGCCAACCACUUACACUCUGAAUGAAUCGUGUCGUAUGUCUAAGUCAUUGAUAAAAUAAAGCAAAACUUUCAACAACGGAUCUCUUGGUUCUGGCAUCGAUGAAGAACGCAGC